GUUUCCAGACUCCCUGCUGUGGAAAGAGGCUUCAGCCUUGACCUCUUCAGAAAGCCAGAGGCUAUUUAUCGACAGAGAUGGUUCCACAUUUAGGCACGUGCACUAUUACCUCUACACCUCCAAACUCUCCUUCUCCAGUUGUGCAGAACUGAACUUGCUGUAUGAGCAAGCAUUGGGUUUGCAGCUGAUGCCUUUGCUGCAGGCCUACAUGAUAAGGCACCUCUGGGGCUCAUGGACACACCCCUGUUAGACACAGAAGAGGAGGUGCACUACUGCUUCCUGCCCCUAGACCUGGUGGCCAAAUAUCCCAGCCUAGUGACUGAAGACAACCUGCUGUGGCUGGCUGAGACGGUGGCCCUCAUCGAGUGCGAGUGCAGCGAGUUCCGCUUCAUUGUGAAUUUUCUUCGCUCACAGAAGAUUUUACUACCGGAUAAUUUCUCCAACAUUGAUGUAUUAGAAGCAGAAGUGGAAAUUCUGGAAAUCCCUGCACUCACUGAAGCUGUAAGGUGGUACCGGAUGAACAUGGCAGUGUGCCCACUGGCACACUGUUGCCACGGAAGCAGGGUCCCGAAGGCUGUGAUAACUGUAUUCUCUGGACUGUACUCUGGGCCCACUAUAGGAGAAAAAGGUCCCAUCCAUAAACCAGCAACCCAAAUACCCACCCUGAAAAUAAUGCCACACGGUAUGUCUCAGGGGGAAAUUCUGCCCAGGAGAGCCAGCAAUAGGGGCUGUGAAUCCAGGAAGCCUGUAACACACAUUGAGUUUCCAGGCCAUGGUUGCCGUUCUUUACCUUUGGAUGGUUACAGAAGAGCUUGGAACUAAUGGAGACUCCUGCAGAGGCUGGGGCCAGUUGGCUGCUUUCCUGAAACUUAGGAAAUUCAGAUGCUAGUGAUACAGCAAAUGAAUCCCCCCACUCCCAACUCACCUCCCAACAAAUAGUUAUGACUUCUAAGCCUGAGUAUACAAAAAAAUUAUACUGAUUUUGAGAAGAUCUCGCUUUGGACUGUGCAAGGAAAUAUCCUUCCUCUGAGCCUCCUCGGUACAAUGGAGGCAGCAGUAGGAACCGAGCCCCAAAGCCUCCAAUCCAGCUAUGACCAUGGGGGGCCUAGGAGUCACCCCUUUCUCCCUGACACAGGUGGCUGUUCCCGGACCACCUGUUCUCCCCUGAGCCCCGGGAAGGGGGCCCGCACAGCCAGCCUGGAGUCCAUGAAACCGCUCUACACAAUGGCCCUGGGUCUGCUGGUCAAGUACCCGGACUCUGCGCUGGGCCAGCUUCGCAUCGAGAGCACGCUAGACGGAAGCC
rnacentral:sRNA from 1 species